rnacentral:lncRNA from 1 species
AACAUUAUAAUUUUUUUAUAAUAUUUACAUGAUAACUGUCUGAUUUGAUCUGAUCUCUUUUAUCUAUUCAAUUUAAGCCGACUUGCACCUCUACUUGACCCGAUCUGAGAUAAAUACAGGGUGGGUAUGGUAUUUUUAAUAGUGGGGUGGGUGUGGGUAUUGGCCGACCCAAUCUAUACCCAACCCAUUGCCAUCCUUAUAUGGCCCACCUAUCUUCCGCACAAGAGGUUGGGGUCCGAACCGUGGGAGUUUUAUCCUACAAGAUGUAGACAACAUUGGAGAUUUCCCCCAAGUCAAAAUCGAUGGGUUUGCCCACAUAUCCCUAACCAAUAGGGUCGGACUUCCCUUCCCUAUCUCAAAAAGAAAGGAGGC